UACAGGGUGUCUCACUGAGGAAGCCGGAAAGCAAAACGGCUGUCUGAGGCUCAGUGCAGUGCAGCCGGAGCCGUACACCCUGACAUCCACGCGUACUCUCAGUGUCUUCUGGGACAGACAUUAUGACGUCUCUCAGCGACCAUCCCCAGCCCACCCGCAGUGCCCUGCGCUGAGAAGAGCUGCAGCAAUUGGGUGGGAGGAGUCACGUCAGCUGGUGGAAGCUGCUGCCCCAGAGCCAAAUGUUCUACAGAAGGCCACUGCUGUAACAGCUAUAGUAAAUACAACCACAGUAUGUGCUGUGAUGCUCAACAUGUCUUAUGUUGACCACAUCCUGCUGAAGUCACAGAACCUGGGAAAACUUAGAGGAAAAUGAAUCACCACCAGGGCACCAGACCCACCCAAUGAGCUCACACUGACAAUAUUUGGACAGUGCCACAAUAAGCUCAAAAUACACCUUCUGCACAACAAGUGUGACCAAUUCAGUGAGCUGCAGUGUACAUAGUUAUCAUAAAUACUUGUGGUACCAUGGAGAUUAACAAUUCACAAGGUUUAGUCCACAUCUAACUGAAUGCAAUUUUAUUGUAGUGUACACAAAUGAGAAUAUAAAAAAAAUUAUCAAUAUAAUAAUAUAUUUGAUCGUUUUGCCA